rnacentral:rRNA from 1 species
CAGCAGCCGCGGGAAUACGGAGGGUGCAAGCGUUAUCCGGAUUUAUUGGGUUUAAAGGGUCCGUAGGCGGAUCUGUAAGUCAGUGGUGAAAUCUCACAGCUUAACUGUGAAACUGCCAUUGAUACUGCAGGUCUUGAGUAAAUUUGAAGUGGCUGGAACAAGUAGUGUAGCGGUGAAAUGCAUAGAUAUUACUUAGAACACCAAUUGCGAAGGCAGGUCACUAAGAUUUAACUGACGCUGAUGGACGAAAGCGUGGGGAGCGAACAGGAUUAGAUACCCCAGUAGUCCCUGUCUCUUAUAC